CUGUCGGUUUCCCGCAGUGAACAAUUGUGAACUCCGCCAGGCCUGGAAGGGAGCAACGGUAGCAAUGACUUCGCGUGCCGGGGUCUGCUGGCAGGGG
rnacentral:SRP_RNA from 1 species